rnacentral:rRNA from 1 species
ACGGGGUGCAGCAGGCGCGAAAACUGACCAAUGCGCGAAAGCGUGAGUCGGUCAAUCCGAGUGUAGACCCAUCGGUUUACUUUUGUCAUGUGUACAACGCUUGGCGAAUAAUGUGAGGGCAAGACUGGUGCCAGCCGCCGCGGUAAAACCAGCUCAUAGAGUGGUGAUCAUGAUUAUUUGGCUUAAAGUGUCGUAGCAGGGAAUUCUAAGUCCUCUGUGAAAUGUCAGGUCUUAAGCUUGACACGUGCAGAGGAUACUGGAAUCCUUGGGACUGGGAUAGGUGUAAUGUACGGUUUGGGUAGGGGUGAAAUCCGAUAAUCCAAGCCGGACAACCGGUGGCGAAGGCGUUACACUGGAACAGGUCCGACUGUGAGGCACGAAAGCUAGGGUCGCGAGCCGGAUUAGAUACCCGGGUAGUCCUAUGCCGUAAACGAUGCUCACUAAGUGUUAGGUAAUGCAAGACAUUCUCUAGUGCCGAAGCGAAAGCGUUAAGUGAGCCGCCUGGAAGUACGUUCGCAAGAA